AUUGCACGCGUACACAUUCUAUUGGCUCUGUUCGUUGAGACAACGCUACCUAAUGUAGUUACUUUGCGUGGGUGUGCUUUUGUGUAUAUUGCUAAGAACAUUUAAGACUUAUUCUCCAUAAAUUUAAAUUAUGUAAUGUGGCAUUUUGAACACUAUGAGGCCAACAAAAGGCAAACAUUUUCUAAGUCCUUUGCCUUACUAGAAAAUAGAUUUAUUAUGUUUCCAAACUCAACAAUGUUCCCUUCAACUCCACAUUAUUGCAUGAGAGAGUAAAAUAGUCUAAAGUAUAGGAGAGGACACCAGAAUAAGAGGACAGAGUAAAGGAAGCCUGUGUAGAAUCACUUUCCUACAUUCCUGGAGGCGUAGAGCUUCUCUUCUGUGGGUGGUAAUUUUCCCUUGGACACUGGAGCGUGGAUAGUUAAGAGUCCUCAUAGCUCAAAGCUGGUUUUAUCCAAACAGAUCAGAAAAACUUUGUGUCCCUUGGGAACAGUUUUACAAUCUUAGCUAUUUGGUAAGCCUAACAGGUGGCUUGCUCUAUGUCUGUGACAACAUCUAAAAGUCCUUAGAUGAGCUGAAAGAGCAAUGGCCACAGUGCAGUCACCUCCUGACAAGUCCCAUUGAAGCUUGAACAACUUUUGAAACUCACAUCUGUCCUCCUCUCUGUCUACUUUUCUCUUUGAGUCUCUUUCAUCGUAUUCUGAACAGUAACCUGUGACCUGCUUUCUGAUAGUUUCUGAUAUACAUUCACCUGCAUUUUCUGUUUCUUUCCUCUCCAUUUCCCUUUGUAUAUAGCUUUUUGCUUGAGCAAAUUUUUGUUUCAAAUCACAGAAAAAGAUGAAAGUGCAUAGCAUUUUUUCUCCAACUGAAGAAAUAUUAAGGGAAACUAAAUUUUAAGUGGGUUCCUGGGGAACACCUAAAUGUCUUUAUCUAUGGCACCUGUUCUCUCUUCUUGUAGCUUUGGAAAAUGAUGAAAAUAUUGACUGAAAUAGCACAACAAUAAUUGGUGAAAUCCUUUUAUAGGCAUUCAUCUUCGAAUUUUACUUUGUAACUCCCCUAUUAUAAAUUGUGGCAUUCUUUUGUCUUUCUUGAUUCUGUGUCACUGAUCAGUUUUCUGUCUGCUUAUCUGUAACUAAAACUAAAAAUGUUCCACGAGGUAGGUCGAUGACAUCACUCACACAUUAUCACCUAGGUAAUGGAAUGAUUACUAUAGCAACAGAGCCUUUAUCUUCCAGUGCCCACAACAUUUUGACAGAUGGGAAAGACUGAAGAUUUAAAACAGGACUUAAAAGUAUUAUAACUUGGUGGCCAUAUCAUGGUAAUAGCUUACAAAUUAAUUUCAUGAAGCUUAAAUUGAAUAUGAGGUGUAUAUAAUGCUAUUUAUCUGAGGUUAAUUUGGCUUUUGUGCAAAAGGAUAUUCUCUUCUUUGAAAACCUUAAAUGAUUAACUGCAGAGGUAUUAAUAAUAAUAAAUUUAAAAUACUGUAAAACUUUAUGGCAAUAUAAAGAAGGCUCUUGUAGACUUGUCCUAAUAAACUAAUCACUUAAGCUUCUCUGAUCCUAGCAGGUAUAACCCGUAUCUCAUGAGAAAAUUAAAAUUAUUCUCCUUGACCUUUUUCCUACAUGUGUGUAUGUGUCUAGUGUUCAUGUGUACAUAUGUUGGUAGGAUUGCUCCUGUGUCCUCUGUGUUCUUGUGGAAGAAAAGCAGGGAUUGUUGAGGGUGUCUUCCUCUGUUACUCUACCCUUUAUAUGUUAGGACAGGAUCUCACCCAGAAACUGCACUUCUGAUGUGCUAGAAUGACUGCCCAGCAUGCUCCAGGGACCUGUCUCUCCUCUAUACAAUUUUCCAGCACACCAACUCUAUAGUUACAGAUAAAUGUUGAUAUGCCUGGAUUUUAUGUGAGUGAUAGCAAUCCAAACCUAGGUCCUAAUGCUUGAAUGGAAAGUACUUACAUACUGAGCCAUCUUCUCUGAGCCAUCUUCCUCUUUCAUUUAUGCCUGUAUAUGAGAUUUAAGUAACUUAAAUCUUCAUUGUGCUUAUGUCGUUGUAUUUUAUGUAUGUGUGUGUAUGUUCAUUUUCAGGGUACUUGUUGCCACAUAAAUUUAUCUCAAAGUUAAAGAAAAAAGCCAAGAUGUCACUUACAUAUGUUCUAUGCUGCCACCCACACAAUAAACAAAACCAUGAUAAUCAAUUUAAUUUUUCACUCUUAGUUGUCUCAUUUCUGAGGAAAUUACUGCUUAAUAGAAGUAGGCCCAGUAAAUUAUCUUUUAUUGAACAAACUUCAAAGCAGUUCAGGGUAAAAUAACAGGACACAAAUUGGAGCCAAAAUAAUGCCUGAUGAGAACAUGUUCUUGGAUUUUCAAUAACCAAAGCCAAACUUUACUAAUAAAACCAUCCUGGUUAUGGAAAGAAUCAUUUCUCCCAAUAGGUGAUAUAUGUACAUACAUAUACAUGUGGUCAUUUCCCAAGCAAUACAUAGUCUCAAUACCCAAUCAAGGCUUGAAAAUACAAGUAGAAUAUAGUAGUUAGACAAUAUUUAUGAGUAGAACUUACUGAUCUGAAAUCUUUAGUGUUCUAUAGUUCAUUGAAACUAAUAUAAAAACCUAGAAGGUGAUUAUUUUAUUAGGUUUUUCCUGGCAUAAAGCUAAGCAGAGACUCUCAUCCACACACUUUGUUCUUAAACAGAAAAUAUUGAAAUUAUUUCUUUGGUCACAGUCAAAAUCUGAUGUCUCCUUUUGUUCUCUCAAAAGUGAAAGAUUCAUGAAAUAUCACGAAAAUUCAGUUGUGUAUGUAUGUAUUGUAUCUGCAUAUGUGUCUCUGUAUUUACAUGUGUUUGAAAGACCAUUUUAAUUCUCUGCCAGAUUUUCUAAUUGAAUGAGAAUGUCUUUAUAUACUCAGGCAAGGAAAUUAAAGUUCAUUUCCUUCAUAGAGGACAAAGUAAUCCCAAAGUAGUCAUAAGAACAUUGGAAAAAUUAAUGGAUCCUCAAGAGGUUACCUGUACAAAUGGAUAGUCUUUCACCCUGUAUUGACCUUGCCACAGCAAUCAGAAGCUGGAAUAUCGAGUUAAAGAGACAAGGUAUAUUUGAGCAGUUGAACCAACAGCUUAGAUGCUGAGACACUGCUUCUGUUCAGCCAUCAUAUUAUAGGGGAAUUAGAAAGUUAAAAGAGGGAUAUCUGCUUAGGAUUAUCUGAAAAUUAUUUCAUUUACAAUGGAUAUAAUUUACUUGGUAUAGUACCUCAUACAAGAGAGGUAUCAGCAAACACCGACUGUUCAUAUCUAUUUUUCUAUGUUGCCCAUAGCAUGGCCCAGACGUGAUUAGAGUUAAGCCUGGUUUGAGUUAGAGGAGGAAAUGAUCAAUUUAAACCCAGUCUGACGCAUAUAUCUCAAGGGGAGAGAAACAAUGAGGCUAAUGAGCUAAUAUACAUGGCAGCCCCCUAGUGAGAUGCUCAAAUGAGCCCCCUCAAGCUUAUUUUCUCAAGGAUGUAUAAGACAUUUGAAGUACCAGAAAGAAAUCAUAUUUUCAACUACAAUCUCUAUGUAGUGAUUCUCUCGUUGGAGAAGAAAGAGACUCAUGUUAGUUACCACAUUAAGAUAAGUGAGAAGCCCCAGGACAACACAGUAAACAUGUUACCUUCCUCUGCACUUUCCAGACAGCAGCCUCUUUCUGAUGAGUGAAAGAAAGAAUUACAGUCGACAGCAUGACCACCAGAUCCAGUGUAAAAAUGGUCCCAACUCAGGGUUUGAGGACAGAAGUAAAAGUAGGCAAAGGAAAGCAUGUUGUUCCAGAAUUUGUUAGAAAACUUGAAAUAAAAGAAAAAGCCUAAAAUAUUCUGGAGAAAGAAAAAUAAGUUACAAAGGAAGAGUUACGGUCCACAUCACCUGUAUAAUACUUGGUAGCUGGGCAACCUCGGUGAUUCGCGUGGGCUGGCAUUGUGUUUAUCAAUUUAUACUUGAGAAAAUCAGAAGCACAAGUCCACAUAUACAUGAACAUACUGAUGUCUAUCUAUGCCUCAGUGGGCCUUCUCUUAAAGGUCACAUUUACACAGCUGUAAGUUCAUGAGAGAAUCCAGAGAGGAGUUCUCAUUCUGCUCGUUCCAAUAUAGGAAAGACGUCCUUUGUUGAAAUCUGCCUGGACACUGCUUACGGGGAAGAAGAGUGAUGAUAGUGAGUUGUCAGCUGGUUUCUGUUGGACUACAGCAAGAAACAUGUGUGGGAAUAUACAUUUGCAUUGCCUAUGUGCGUGCUUUAUGCAUAGUUAUCAUUCUGUAAAAGAAGAAAAGUUAUGGAAAUUAGCAUUUCCUAUUGAUAUAAGAUGUGGGCCAUGGCAAUGACUUCUCUCAGAUCCUUGUGCAGAGAAGCAUGAAAUCUUCAGGAUGGAUGCUUGAAAGGUAAAUGAAAUAAAUGGGCAUUGAAAUCUAGAUGGAGCUGAAGAAAUGGAAUCUUUCCAUUUUCUUUCUUUCUGAGUGAGCUCCUGUUUGAAUCAGUUAUCAACAAACUUUGCAUGUAUCACUUCAGACUGAGGUGGACACAUUAUGAUACUUAGUCAUCACUAAAACUCUUAUCAACUAGAGAAAGGCCAUAGAUGCAAAGAGAAAUUAACUUUUUCUUACAUUUUCUUACAGGAAUAAUAGUGACUAAUCUCUCUAUCAGUAUUCAAGGAAUCUGCGGAAAUUCACACUGAACAGAAUUGUCAAUGACUACAACCAAGAAAGCAUGCUACAAGAUGUGGAACCUGGAUCUAUCAAUUUUUUAAAGAUUAUUUCUCAAUAAAUUUGUUUUCAUUCACUUUAUAUCUCAAUCACAGCCCCCCUCCCUCCUCUCUUCCAGCCCCACCCACAUGUACCACCACUUCCCUCAUUACCUCCUUCCCUUCUACUCAAAGAAUGGGUAAACUCCCAUGGGUAAUAAUUUGUCCUGGCACAUCAAACCCCAGCAGGACUAAGAGGAUCCUCUUCCACUGAGGCCAGUCAAGGUAGCCCAGCUACAAGAAAGUGAUCCAAAGGCAGACAGCAUCAUCAGAGACAGCACCCCGCCAUUGCUAUGCAACUCACAUGAAGACCAAGCUGCACAUCAGCUGCAAGGUGUAGGGAACCUAUGUCCAGUUCAUGCAUGUUCUUUGGUUGGUUGUUUAGUCUCUGUGAACCCCCAUGGACAAAGGUUAUUUGACUCUCUAGGUCUUCUUGUGGUGUCUCUGACUUCCUGAAUCCUUUCCUCAACUCUUCUACAAGUCUCCCUGAGCUCAGCCUAAUGUGUGGCUGUGGGUCUCUGCAUCUGUUUCGAUCAGCAGCUGGACGAAGCCCCUCAGAAGACAGUUAUGCUAGGCUCCUUUCUGCAUUCACACAAAUAUUAACAGUGUCAGGCCUUAGCUCUCUCCCAUAAAUCUUAAUAAGCCAGACCUCCUCUGCACAAGAUAUAUGAGUCUGUACAAGGCAAAAGAGGUUUAGUGGAAUGAAUGUUGACUGUUAGAUGUAAAUAUUCUUGAGUAUCAUUUGAGAGUUCUUUUCUGCAAUGAUAAAAUAGAACUGUAUUGCUUUUGUUGGGCAAGCCUUGCCAGCUUCCAUGUAGACUCUGCCACUGAAUUACAGGCACCUUCCUGAGAUAAUUUGUAAUGACUGAUUUAACAAGAUUGAUAUACAACACCAAAUGUAUGAAAGCUGCAAUUGCCUGCAUGCGACAACGUGUAUUUCCCCCACACAGGAUGAGGUUCAUUUGGCAAUUAACCCACUAUUUUAUCAAUAUGUGUCAUAUCAUGGUUCACAGACUUUCCAUAUUAAAACACUAAAACCUUUAUGGAAAAUGCUUAUCAAAUUUUGAAAGCAAACCUGCAAAGAUAAAAACAAGGACAAAACAAAACAAACCUCCUGAAGGUCAUUUGAUCUUUAAUGCCUAACUUUAUGAUAAGAACAAGUUUCUGUCUCCCAUUUCCCUUCAAACUGAAUCAGUACAUGCCAUCUGGCUCACCUUUCAUGUUUUAUUGAUGUCUUUCAUUGUUGAUGUCAAAAGUACAAGGACUUUUUAAAUUUAAGAUUAUACCUCUUUAUGUAAUGAUGAGGCUAAAUGGCUCUGAUUAUUUAAUUGCGAGGAAUGGUGUGCAACUCCCAUGCCCUCUUCAUAAAUUGGGUGAGGAAAAUACUUCAAACAAGUGGAAAACAUCAAUUAAUCCUAUUUUUAUAUUUAUCUUAUUGAAACUUAGUCCAGGAAGUUUGCUGCUUGAAUGCCCCCUCUGAAUUAGUCAAAUGGGAAAAGUUUACCCUCAGUAUGGUUUGUUAUUUUUCAAAUGUUACAAUAAACAAAUGCAAAGUUGACACAAUAUAAGAAAUAGAAAAGAAUCCUUUAAGACGUUUACUUAAAAAUAGUUCAUUUAAUACUCUUGCAUGAUUUUCUCUUUUGAAAACAUGUUUCAUUAAAUCUAGGACACAAGUUACCUUGAAGAAACUGAGGGAUUUAUCCUCAAGUUGGGACAUCAGUUUGAAAUUGUUGGAAAACUAGCUUCUGAGAGUUGGCCAUUGUUUAACGUGAAUACCAACAUUUCUUUAUUAUUGUUUUUAUCCUU
rnacentral:sRNA from 1 species